UCAAGUAGAAUUUUACUGGGUGACUUUUACUUUAGUAAUUUUCUAUGAAGGUACCUUUACUUUUACUCAAAUAUGACAAUUGGGUACUUUUUCCACCACUGCAAUUAUAGCUAUUCGUUUUCCCCAUGCAUCUGCCUGACACAACUUGUCAGUUGUUAGAUAGUAAAUUAGGAUGGAUAAAUCAGAAGCCAGCUAGCAAUGCCAAGUGCAUGCUUUUCACCAACAAAAAUCAUGUAUGUAUGUAAAAGAGACAAUUACCUUGAAGCAGAUAAUUUUUGUUUUAUUCCAGUACUUCAUACCAUGGAGUAAUAACUAGCUACUUGUUUGUAGAACCAGCGUCUUCACCUGAACGAAUUUCACAGGAAAGGUGUAGGUGCUGGCAAAAGCACAGGCUGCGUCAUGCACUUGAGGGGGCGUUUACUUACUAGAGCAUGUGCUUCACUUUUUAAAAAAUCUAGUAGCAAUUUGCAAGGGGUGUAUGUUUUAUUUAUAUUAUUGGCUAAUUUAUUUAUUUGAAACAUGGCCUUUAAGUUGUUCUCACACUAAUCAACCGCUAGUAGCUAGAUAGACCGCGUUUAAACAAAGUUUGGCGCAAAAGAUGCAGGAAAUAGCUAGCUAACAAGUUAGCCAGCUAACAUAGCUAGCUAAUAUCGUCCCUACACAGAAUGGUUACCAGCCGUCCUGCGCGCAGGUUGUUCACUUUAGGACUAGCCCAAGUUCAUCAUAUUUAGUUAGCUAUGGACUCAAUGCCUUUAAUACGAGGUGUUUUAUUGCGAAAUGACGACACGCCUUAUCAAAACCUCAACCGAGAAUUCGCAACGAGAAUGUCUUAUCCUAGCCCUGAGUCACCGUCUCCACAGGUACCCGACAUCACAGAGACCAGCGCUGGUCUGGAGUGGUUUGAAAUGGGCCUAGUGACCUCAUCUGGUCCCGCCAGGAGCACAACAGACCAGGGAGUACCGCGGUCUCCUUAUGUCACUGGAUCAGUCAGCACCCAAAGCUCUCCACUCAGCAACUUUGCAGUUCCAUCCACCCCAGUGCAGAGCUGGGGGAUCCCCCAUAAUCUGGAGGAGGAUCCAUGGACGGCUAGUCCUACACAGCGCAGAACACAACCAUCCCCCCUGGGUAACGAACCUUCAGAACCCCUGGCUCAAACUGUCCCUGUUAUCAGAAAGAGGAGGGUUUAUGCACUAGCCCAGCCAGUGAGAAGCGAAUCUGAAGAGGACCUAUCUAGUAAAGACGGGAUAUCGGAGAGGGGGAGCAGAAAAGGGAAAGACAGCAGACCCAUCCUGGGAGAUCUGUUUGAUUAACACACUGACUGAUUUGUAACUGCCGCUGACUUUUUAAUGUUUGAUUAUUUCCAAUGUAAUGCUGGUGAAGUAAUUUACAAUUCCUUACAGAUUACCUAGUUUGACCCCCUCCUGUUUGUAAUCUUUUUAAUCAGUUUUGCAAUGUGUCAUUGUUCUAAUAAAAUAUAAUCAAAAAGGUUGAAAUAGUAGAACAUUUAAAAUUCCCAGAGUGAAAUAGUAGUAUAGUGACAACCACUAAAUGUCACUGUUGUGUUAUUUCCUGUCUACCACUUUCCUCUCUGAUACUGCUGGGUGUGUGAGUGAGAGGUUAUCCUGUGAUCUUGUACUUCACUGAGAAAAAUGAAACAUGCACUAGUAGGUCAUCUUUAAUGGGUGUGAUCGUGUCUAAGAGGGCAUUGGGUCACCCCCUACUUCUUCUGACCCUUCAUCCUUCCAUGACAUAGAAAGAUGUGAAUAGACAAACACUGAAGUUUUUGUCUGAAUUGGAUGUGAAUUCAACAGGAUUGGGAAUGUCUAGGACAGAGAAGGGUAAUGACA